CUAGAGUUGUUAGGGAAGUUUUAAUGCAGGGAGUAAGACUUGGGCUAUAUCCUAAAGGAUUUUGAUAACUGAAAAUAACAGUGAGGGCGACAUUCUAAGUAGGGGAACCACUGGGAACUCCAGUAUGUUGAUCUCUUUCAGAAUAAUCAAUUUUAUAUAGGCUGGAAGAUUUUCAGGAUGAUCCUGAUAACUUAAGUGACUCUCUCUUUUCCGGUGAUGAAGAAAAUGCUGGGACUGAGGAAAUAAAGAAUGAAAUAAAUGGAAAUUGGAUUUCAGCAUCCUCCAUUAACGAAGCUAGAAUUAAUGCCAAGGCAAAAAGGCGACUAAGGAAAAACUCAUCCCGGGACUCUGGCAGAGGCGAUUCGGUCAGCGACAAUGGGAGUGACGCCCUUAGAAGUGGAGUAACUGUGCCAACCAGUCCAAAGGGAAGGUUGCUGGAUAGGCGAUCCAGAUCUGGGAAAGGAAGGGGACUACCAAAGAAAGGUGGUGCAGGAGGCAAAGGUGUCUGGGGUACACCUGGACAGGUGUAUGAUGUGGAGGAGGUGGAUGUGAAAGAUCCUAACUAUGAUGAUGACCAGGAGAACUGUGUUUAUGAAACUGUAGUUUUGCCUUUGGAUGAAAGGGCAUUUGAGAAGACUUUAACACCAAUCAUACAGGAAUAUUUUGAGCAUGGAGAUACUAAUGAAGUUGCGGAAAUGUUAAGAGAUUUAAAUCUUGGUGAAAUGAAAAGUGGAGUACCAGUGUUGGCAGUAUCCUUAGCAUUGGAGGGGAAGGCUAGUCAUAGAGAGAUGACAUCUAAGCUUCUUUCUGACCUUUGUGGGACAGU
rnacentral:sRNA from 1 species